GGGACGGUGGCGGAAUCGGUAGACGCACCAGACUUAAAAUCUGUUGAGCAUUGUGCUCGUGAGAGUUCAAGUCUCUCUCGUCCUA
rnacentral:tRNA from 1 species